rfam:Lichtheimia corymbifera JMRC:FST:9682, FST 9682, WGS project CBTN01000000 data, contig: SCAF00098
GCGUUUCUAGCUUAAUUGGUAGAGUACAGGAUUUCGGCUCUUGGUGGUAGAGGUUCAACUCCUCUGAAACGCU